CUGCCCAGGGAUGGUACUGCUUACGUAAGCAUAGCACCUCCCAAUGGAAGAGCUGGCGAGAAGCUUCUGGCUGAGUUCUAGCUUGAUUGUUUAUAUCUCACAACAAAGUGUGUAGUGUCUUCCAUACCAAGGUCUUAUCAGCUACUUCUGGCAGACAUCUACAAGGAAUGGCAGAAUCCUACAUUUUUGUGGGGAGCAUUGCUGUUGGAGCUUUCCUGACCAACAACUAAUAAGGAGGUAUCAUUGAAAGACUUAUUAUUGAUUCAACUGGCUUGAUUUCUAUGAAUCUGUUGAAGUUGUAUGUGGCCUCUUGUUUAAUUAUGCUCUUCUCUCUGGUGGCACGGUCCACUGCCCCACAUUCUCCUGUCUGUGACUGGAUUGAGAUGUAGAACUUUCAGCUCUCCCAGUUCCAAGUCUGCCUAGAUGCUGCCAUGGGGAUCCUGUCAUGAUGAUAAUGGACUGAACCUAUGAACCUGUGACUUUGACAAGAGCGGAUUCUGUUGAAUGAAGGGAUGGGCAAUGUCAUGAAAGAAAUUGAGAAGACGAUGAUAUGUAGAAACAGAAGUCUUAACUUUCAAGAUAUUUAACAUAUUUGGAAGAAGGGAAAUUUAAUGUUGCAACUACUUCCUGACACUGUCUUGUGCUAGGAAAAUUUCCAGCUAUGGACAGUUCUCAUGACAACUCUCAAGGAAAUGUAUUCACAAUUUUCUUUUGGAUUCUGAGAUUGUUCCCUCUAUCUGACCUUUUAACUCUUGCAGUCAUUAUAAAAUUAACAUAUCCUAAAUGAUCCUCUUGGCUUCCCAACCAUCUCUUUCCAUUUUCCAUCCGUGAGUACAUGCUGAGCAUAGUCUUUUUUGUCAUUUGUUGUAGGAGGCUAGUGGUCAUCUUCACAUCCUCUUCCCUAUUUGGCCUGUUGGAUCUAUCAAGAAGUCAUCGCCAUUUCUUCAUUUAAGAGAGACUCUAACUCUGUCUUUCUUUAUCUUCAGCAUCCUACUCUUAACUACCCUACACCAAAGGGGCCUGUGCUGCUCCGCCAUCUCACCUGUCAUGGUUAAGCUCCUUCUAGCUUUACCUCGAAGCAACUAUCCUUCAGUGCAUGCUUCCCCCUUUGGAAUUCGAGUUCCACAAGGGCAGGAAUUCUGUUUUAAUUGCUAUCCUGUCUCCUCCAUUGGUUAACAUGAUCAACAUAGUAUCAAGCAUGUAGUAAGUGCUCAACAACUGUUUUGAUAGCUGAAGAAAAGACUGACAAAUAAAUAAUUUCUACGUGGAAGGUAAGAAUAGAAGUUAAGCAAAUAUUUGCAGUCGGCUGUGGGAGAAACACCCAUCAAAUGACUACAUGCCGCGCCUAACUUUUGCAGCAAUAAACUCAUGAUCAACACGGUCAGUCUUCCAAAGUCCUGGAGGCAACACAUCUGGGCCUUGGCUCCCUGCCAGGAAUGUCUUCCUUCCUCCUCGCUACUCAGGCUGCACAUUAGUCUUCUAUGCUUUCACAAUAAUACAAAUGACAACCUUUGGUAGAUUACACAAUACAUACAGUUAUCUUCCUUUGACCACCUGAGAGAAUGGGGUUUGAGUUUUGCUGAUGGCAAGUUCAAAGCAGAAGUGGUUGAAUCCCGUGCUGGAGGCUCAUCCCUGUUUCUAGACCCUCCUUUCCCACCAUACUUAUGAUUUGUAUAAGAAUAUAGUAUAGUAAUGCUGUAACAUCUAACACUUCAAUUAUCACUCAAAAUAGGGAAAUGGAUGGCAUAUGUUUCAUUUUUGGGACACGUUUCUUAAUAAAGAAGGAAAGGGUUCAGUGUUUCCUACUUGUACAUUGAUUGAAAGCCUGGGUUCUUGGUGAAGUACUUCUGUUUGAGUCCUAGUUCAUGUCUAUACUAGAGAACACAAUCUUGGGUGAGUUCCUUAGUUCUCUGGUCCCCAGUUACCUCAUCUGUAAAUUGGAGGUAAUAUUAGCAGUACAUACUACAGAUCAUUGUCUAGUUUCUCACUAUUGAGCUAUACAAGGCAUAGGCAUCCAUUUAUAACGUUAGAUACAUGGAAGAGCUCAAGACUACUAAAACAUGGCUGAGCUAGGUCUCGGACCUCCUUGUUGGGUCCAACUACAGAGGCUAUUUUAUCAUUAAAAUUUGUUGUACACUUAGGAAAGAAAGUUAGAAUGAUUUGUGUGUGUGUGUAAAAUACUUUUUUUUAAAAGGAGUGCCUGAGGCUAAGAGUGUCUUACAUUUUCCAAAUUUCAGAGUGAAGAUAAGAAUUUGUUGUUGUUGUCUUCACAUCUGAAAUCCAAGGUCGUUUUGGGAGCAUGCAAUGAAGACUAUAGCAUCAGCAUGUAGAGUUGGGCAUCUCAGAUUGUGUUUAUGUUGCGAUUUUCUCUCUAGAGUCUCAGACCUGAGCACAUGUGUGCUUUUCAUUGUGACCCAUGCUCAGACUUACUGUUUGUCAAAGGAGGUGUUUUCCUUCUGACUUUGUUGUUGUUGUUGUUUUGUUGUUUUUUGUUUUUCGAGACAGGGUUUCUCUGUAUAGCC